rnacentral:lncRNA from 1 species
AAGGACAAAGGUCGUCCCCUAUGCUUUAGACGUAGGCUCUACAGUAUGAUAUGCUGUGUACCGCACCUGAAGUGUGUCGUGCCAUGAAUCAAUCAAGGGGUACAAGAGUGAUCCAGGAAUGGAUCACAUGACAGCGGUCAAACUUAUCCUUAGUAACUAGUUGACUAAGGAAUUUUCUCGAUUAUGGAGGUGGUAAAAGAGUUCGUCGUAAAUGGUUACGCCGAUGCAAACUUUGACACUAAUCUGGAUGACUCUGCAUAGUAAACCGGAUUCGUAUAGUAGAGCAGUUAUUUGGAAUAGUUCCAAAUAGCGUGUGGUAACUGCAUCUAGAAGAUGAUAUAGAGAUUUGUAAAGCACACACGGAUCUGAAAGGUUCAGACCCAUUGACUAAUAACCUCUCUCACAAGCGAGAUAUGAUCAAACCCCAUGGGUGUUGGAUUCAUUAUAAUCACAUAGUGAUGUGAACUAGAUUAUUGACUCUAGUGCAAGUGGGAGAGUGUUGGAAAUAUGCCCUAGAGGCAAUAAUAAAAUGGUUAUUAUUAUAUUUCCUUGUUCAUGAUAAUUGUCUAUUGUUCAUGCUAUAAUUGUAUUAAUUGGAAACCGUAAUACAUGUGUGAAUACAUAGACCACAACAUGUCCCUAGUGAGCCUCUAGUUGACUAGCUCGUUGAUCAAUAGAUGGUUAUAGUUUCCUGACCAUGGACAUUGGAUGUCAUUGAUAACAGGAUCACAUCAUUAGGAGAAUGAUGUGAUGGACAAGACCCAAUCCUAAGCAUAGCACAAGAUCGUGUAGUUCGUUUGCUAAAGCUUUUCUAAUUUCAAGUAUCAUUUCCUUAGACCAUGAGAUUGUGCAACUCCCGAAUACCGAAGGAAUGCUUUGGGUGUACCAAACAUCACAACGUAACUAGGUGGCUAUAAAGAUGCACUAUAGGUAUCUCCGAAAGUGUCUGUUGGGUUGGCACAAAUCGAGACUGGGAUUUGUCACUCCGUAUGACGGAGAGGUAUCUCUGGGCCCACUCGGUAAUGCAUCAUCAUAAUGAGCUCAAUGUGACUAAGUAGUUAGUCACGGGAUCAUGCAUUAUGGAACGAGUAAAGAGACUUGCCAGUAACGCGAUUGAACAAGGUAUAGGGAUACCGCCGAUCGAAUCUCGGGCAAGUAACAUACCAAUGGACAAAGGGAAUUGUAUACGGGAUUGAUUGAAUCCUCGACAUCGUGGUUCAUCCGAUGAGAUCAUCAUGGAACAUGUGGGAGCCAACAUGGGUAUCCAGAUCCCGCUGUUGGUUAUUGGCCGGAGAAUGUCUCAGUCAUGUCUGCAUGGUUCCCGAACCCGUAAGGUCUACACACUUAAGGUUCGGUGACGCUAGAGUUGUUAUGGGAAAUAGUAUGUGGUUACUAAAGGUAGUUCGGAUUCCCGGAUGUGAUCUCGGACAUCACGAGGAGUUCCGGAAUGGUCAGGCGGUGAAGAUCAAUAUAUUGGACGAAGGGUAUUGGAGUCUGGAAGUGUUCUGGGGGUACCAGCCUAUGGCCAGCAUGACCGAAAGGUGUUUCGGGAGCCCCGGCAAGUGUUGGAGGGCCUCAUGGGCCAAAGGGGAAGGGGAAAACCAGCCCACUAAGGGGUGGUGCGCCCCCCACACCCUUUCCCACGUUAUUUGGGGAGGGGGGGCGCCUCCACCUGGCUUGGGAGGGAAUCCUCCACCUGCUUGGCUUGGGGGGCAAGUUUCCCUAGGAUUUUCCCUAGGGAGAUCCAAUCUGCUUGGCCGCCGCCCCCUAGGGGAAACCCUAGGGUGCCUCCCCCUCUCUCGUUGCCCCUAUAUAUAAUGGAGGGUGGGAGGGAAGCCGGACCUCUUCCCUGGCAUAGCCCUCUCCCUCCUCCAACACCUCCUCCUCCUCUGUAGUGCUUGGCGAAGCCCUGCUGGAGAACCAGAAGCUUCACCACCACCACGCCGUCGUGUUGUCGGAGUUCUCCCUCAACUUCUCCUCUCCCCUUGCUGGAUCAAGAAGGAGGAGACGUCCCCAGGCUGUACGUGUGUUGAACGCGGAGGCGAUGUCCGUUCGGUGCUAGAUCGGAUCUUCCACGAUUUGAAUCGCCGCGAGUACGACUCCGUCAACCGCGUUCUUGUAAUGCUUCUGCUUAGCGAUCUUCAAGGGUAUGAAGAUGCUCAUCCUAUCCCUCUCUUGUUGCUAGAAUCUCCAAAGAUUGAUCUUGGUGAUUCGUAGAAUUUUUUUGAAUUUCUGCUACGUUCCCCAAUAGCUACUCAUCCCCUCCUCUAUCGAAGGGGGUUGCUGAUCCGAACCCGGAGCCAUAUUAGUCUCCGGGACGGUGUUCAGCGGGGGUCCGAACUGUUGAGACCCUCCACCCUCGGUGUUUGUGGGGGUCGCCAUCCCCCGGUCUGCGGCAUCUGUUACCUCUUGAGCAUGCGUUGGUUUUUCCCUUGAAGAGGAAAGGGUGAUGCAGCAAAGUAGCGUAAGUAUUUCCCUCAGUUUUUGAGAACCAAGGUAUCAAUCCAGUAGGAGACUCCACGCAACUCCCUCGUACCUACACAAACAAAUAAGAACCUCGCAACCAACGCGAUAAAGGGGUUGUCAAUCCCUUCACGGCCACUUGCAAAAGUGAAAUCUGAUAGAGAUAAUAUGAUAAGAUAAAUAUUUUUGGUAUUUUUAUGAUAUAGAUUGAAAAGUAAAGAUUGCAAAAUAAAGUAGACUGGAAACUUAUAUGAUAGAGAAUAGACCCGGGGGCCAUAGGUUUCACUAGUGGCUUCUCUCAAGAUAACAUAAGUAUUACGGUGGGUGAACAAAAUACUGUCGAGCAAUUGAUAGAAAAGUGCAUAGUUAUGAGAAUAUCUAGGCAUGAUCAUGUAUAUAGGUAUCACGUCCGCAACAAGUAGACUGACUUUUGCUUGCAUCUACUACUAUUACUCCACACAUCGACCGACUCCUGCCUGCAUCUAGAGUAUUAAGUUCAUAAGAACAGAGUAAUGCAUUAAGCAAGAUGACAUGAUGUGGAGGGAUAAACUCAAGCAAUAUGAUAUAAACCACAUCUUUUUAUCCUUGAUGGCAACAAUACAAUACGUGCCUUGCUGCCCCUGCUGUCACUGGGAAAGGACACCGCAUGAUUGAACCCAAAGCUAAGCACUUCUCCCAUUGCAAGAAAUAUCAAUCUAGUAGGCCAAACCAAACUGAUAAUUCGAAGAGACUUGCAAAGAUAACCAAUCAUACAAAAAAGAAUUCGGAGGAGAUUCAAAUAUUUCUCAUAGAUAAACUUGAUCAUAAACCCACAAUUCAUCGGAUCUCGACAAACACACCGCGAAAAGAGUUACAUCGAAUAGAUCUCCAAGAAGAUCGAGGAGAACUUUGUAUUGAGAUUCAAAUAGAGAGAAGAAGCCAUCUAGCUAAUAACUAUGGACCCGAAGGUCUGUGGUAAACUACUCACAACUCAUCAGAGAGGCCUUGGUGAUGAUGGAGAGGCCCUGCAUGGUCGAUUCCCCCUCCGGCGGAGCGUCGGCGAAGGCUCCAAGAUGGGAUCUCGCGGAUACAAAAGGUUGUGGCGGUCUAAAUAGUUUUUCGUGGUGCUCCUGGAUGGUUUCACGGUACGUGGAUAUAUAUAGGAGGAAGAAGUAGGUCGGUUGAGCCACGAGGGGCCCACGAGGGUGGGGGGCACGCCCACCCCCCUACGGCGCACUGGGCACCCUCGUGGCCGCCUCGUUUGCUGCUUGACGUCCACUCCAAUUCUCCCAGAUCGCGUUUGUUCCAAAAAGAUCACUCCCAAAGGUUUCAUUCCGUUCGGACUCCAUUUGAUAUUCCUUUUCUGCGAAACACUAAAAAAUAGGCAAAAAAACAGCAAUUCAGGCUGGGCCUCCGGUUAGUAGGUUAGUCCCAAAAAUGAUAUAAAAGUGUAUAGUAAAGCCCGUAAACAUCCAAAACGGGUAAUAUAAUAACAUGGAACAAUCAAAAAUUAUAGAUACAUUGGAGACGUAUUAGCAUCCGAGGUAUUAACCUCGUGCGCCUUCUUGACGGCCUCGUCCGCCCCUCCUCGGCCAGGAGAGGUCCUUUGGGACGACACCUCGGCGUCCUCCAUGGCAGUGGGGGAGGGGGCUCGCGAUGGUCUAUCGCUCUCCGCCUCUUUAGGCACUAGAGAGUUCCCCGAUGAAGACGAGGUGUUCGUAACAUCACGUGGAGGGCUGAAAAACAAGCAAAGAUCUAAUUUAUAUGAUAGAGGCAAGUAAGCGGAAGCUGAACAAGUAAGAUGUUGAUACUUACGAUUCGGCCAGGGGCUUCACCCUAGAGGCUCUCCUCGGCCUGUGUUCGGACUCCAAGUCCGAACUAACCGAGAGGGUAAUCUUCUUCCUCUUCGGCGCCGCCUCCUCCGGGUUCUCAGAGGCUGUCCUUUUCUUCCUCCUCAACUUGCAAGGGAAGUCUCUCUCCACCACAUCCUCCUCCUCUUUGUCCUCGUCUUCCUCAUGAGAGGAGACAACCUCGGUCCCUCUAGACAUAGUGUCUGAAGGACCUUUGCGACGGGGCCCUCCCUUGGGCUCCUUGCCCUUCUUCUCCGGCGCCUGGUAGGGCGCCGGGACUAGCAUCUCCGCCAGCUGGGGAGUGACUGAGUCUUCGGGCAAUGGAGUUAGACUCUUGAUCCGCUCCACUUUCUUUGUCCAACCCUGUAAAGAAGUGGGCUGAUAAGAUUCAUAUUCAUCAAAGAUAUAGACCAGACAUAUCUUCGGAAUACUUACCGGACUGGCUGGAUUCUCGGUGUCGAGCCCGACGUCUUCGGUCUCCAUAGGCCAGCUCUUCUGGGCCUUGAAGAGCAGGUUCCAUAUUCCUUCGUGCGUCAUGCCAAAGAAGCACUCAAGGGUCUGCGGCUCCUCCGGAUUGAACUCCCACAUGGGGGAGGCCCGUUGUUGGCAGGGGAGGAUGCGGCGGAAGAGCAUGAUCUGCACCACAUUGGUGAGACCAACAUUCUUGCCUAGCACAUUGGUGAUGCGCAUCUGAGCGUCUGCACCUCCGUCUGGGACCCCCAGUCGAGGCCCUUAGAGGUCCACGAAGUGAUCCUCAUGGGGGGUCCGGAUCUAAACUCCGAAAUUGCCGCCCAGUUGGUGUGGCACGGCUCGGUGAUGUAGAAACACUCUUGCUACCAGACCUUGACGGUCUCGAUGAAGGCCCCCUUGGGCCAUGUGGCGUUGGGUAGCUUGCUUAUCAUGGACCCACCACAGUCUGCAUGCUUCCCAUCGACAACCUUCGGCUUCACAUUGAAGAUUUUUAGCCAUAGGCCAAAGUGUGGUGGGAUGCGGAGUAAAGCCUCACACACGAUGAUGAACGCCGAGAUGUGGAGGAAAGAGUAGAUCAUGGAAAUCUAGCCCAUAAUAGAACAUGAGUCCCCGGACGAUGGGGUGGAGUGGAAAUCCUAGCCCUCUAAGAAAAUGGGGGAGGAAGACCUCUGUCGCCGGGCGCCAGAGUAGGGAUGAUUUGCCCCUCAUCUGGGAGCCUGUGCGUGAUGUCUGCGGCCAGGUACCCUACGCUCCGGAGAUUCUUCAUCUCCUUCUCCGUGACGGAGGAGGCCUCCCACUUGCCCUUGGAACCAGAUCCGGCAAUGGCUGGAGGAGGUGGUGGUGGUGAAGAAGAAAGCUUUUUUCGGACGCUGGAGCUUGGGAGGUUGGAAGGCAGAGGCUGGAAGAAGGUGUGGGGAAGAAAGGAGGAAUCUAUUGCCCUCUUAUAGGCAGUAAAAAUGCCAACCGUACCCCCACUUAUGCCUUGAAACUUGCCUGUUCCCAAUGUGAGCAUGCGUCGUAAACGGUUGGCUUACCCAAAUCUUAUUGAUGAGCAAUCCCAUAAUAAGUGGGCAUGAUCUCUGUUUUGACAAGACGGGCCAAGGGGGCUCAACCUCGAAACACGAAACAAGGAGUGUGGAAACGGUUCAAAACACUGAAAGGUCAAGUCUGACGCUUCGCCGGAAAAAGUUGUCAGUAAAGGCACUAUUCCUAUUUUGUAUAUCAUGCCUUCGUGGCUAAGGGUUGUGUUAAUUAUGCAAAGCCGUAUAUAGUUCUUUUUUAAGGAAAGGUUGAUGUAUAUUGUUCAAGGAGAGGAACCCGCCUUGCAAUGCCGAAGACAACCUGCACGCCAAACACGUCGUCAUUGAAGACUGAUUCAGGGGCUACUGAGGGAGUCCUGGACUAAUGGGUCCUCGGGCGUCCGGUCUAUUCGAUAUGGGCCGGACUAGUGGGUCGUCAAGAUAAAAGGAAGAAGACCACCUCUCGUGUCUGGUUGGGACUCUCGUAUGCGUGAACGACAAGUUUAGGUGUCCGGAUAUACUAUUUCCUUUCUGUUAAACCGACUUUGUACAACCCUAGGGCCCUCCGGUAUCUAUACAAACCAGAGGGUUUAGACCGAAGGCAGGAUCAUAAGUUCAUAACAUUGAUAGGCUAGCCAAGCUAAGGUUUAGCCAUUACAAUCUUGAGGUAGAUCAACUCUUGUAACAACUAUACCAUCGAAUAUAAUCAAGCAUGAGUAGGGUUUUACCUCCAUUAAGAGGGACCGAACUUGGGUAAACACUGUGUCCCUUUGAUUAUUGUUACCAUUGAUCCGCAGACAUAUAGCUUGGGCCCUCCUACCCAAGAUCUGCCAGUUUUGACACCGACAUGGAUCAGUAAAAUGAAAAUGUAGAAGGUGUUAGGAAAUUGCAUGGAAAACAAAAAAAAAUCUACGCACAUGCAAGAUCUAUCCAUGGAGAUGUAUAACAACGAGAGGGGAGAGUGUGUCUACGUACCCUCGUAGACCGUAAGCGGAAGUGUUUAGUGAAGGAAAUAUGCCCUAGAGGCAAUAAUAAAGUUGUUAUUUAUAUUUCCUUAUAUCAUGAUAAAUGUUUAUUAUUCAUGCUAGAAUUGUAUUAAUCAGAAACUUAGUACAUGUGUGAAUACAUAGACAAUACAUAUAGUCCCUAGUAUGCCUCUACUUGACUAGCUCGUUAAUCAAAGAUAGUUAUGUUUCCUAACCAUAGACAUGUGUUGUCAUUUGAUGAACAGGAUCACAUCAUUAGAGAAUGAUGUGAUGGACAAGACCCAUCUGUUAGCUUAGCAUUAUGAUCGUUACAUUUUUAUUGCUACUGCUUUCUUCAUGACUUAUACAUGUUCCUCGGACUAUGAGAUUAUGCAACUCCCGAAUACCGGAGGAACACCUUGUGUGCUAUCAAACGUCACAACGUAACUCGGUGAUUAUAAAGAUGCUCUACAGGUGUCUCCGAAGGUGUUUGUUGGGUUGGCAUAGAUCAAGAUUAGGAUUUUUCACUCCAUAUAUCGGAGAGGUAUCUCUGUGCUCUCUCGGUAAUGCUCAUCACUAUAAGCCUUGCAAGCAAUGUGACUAGUGAGUUAGUUACGGGAUGAAGCAUUACAUAACAAGUAAAGAGACUUGCCGGUAAUGAUAUUGAACUAGGUAUGAUGAUACCGACGAUCAAAUCUCGGGCAAGUAACAUAACGAUGACAAAGGGAACAACGUAUGUUGUUGUGCGGUUUGACCGAUAAAGAUCUUCGUAGAAUAUGUAGGAGCCAAUAUGAGCAUCCAGGUUCUGCUACUGGUUAUUGACCGGAGAUGUGUCUCGAUCAUGUCUACAUAGUUCUCGAACCCGUAGGGUCCGCACGCUUAACGUUCGAUGAUGAUUUGUAUUAUGAGUUAUGUGUUUUGAUGACCGAAGUUUGUUUGGAGUCCUAGAUGAGAUCACGGACAUGACGAGGAGUCUCUAAAUGGUUGAGAGGUAAAUAUUGAUAUAUUGGAAGGUUAUAUACGGACACCAGAAUGGUUCCGAAGAAGAUCAGGGAUUUUUUGGAGUACCGGGAGUUUAUCGGAACCCCCCGGGAAAGUUAUUGGGCCUGUUGGGCCAUAGUGGAGGAGAGGAGCCAGGCCACGGGAGGUGGCACGUGCCCCCCUUGCCCCAAUCCGAAUUGGACAAGGGGAGGGGGUGUGCCCCCCUCUUUCCUUCUUCCUCUCUCCCUUCCCCUUUCCCCUCUCCGUUGAUUGGAAGGAGGGGGGCGAAUCCUACUUGGACUAGGAGUCCAAGUAGGACUCCCCCCUUGGCACCCUCCUUGGUCGCCGGCCUCCUCCCCCCUCCUUUAUAUACGUGGCCAGGGGGUACCCCAAAGGCACACCAAGAUUUCUCUUAGCCAUGUGCAGUGCCCCCUUCCACAGUUUACUCCUCCGGUCAUAGCAUCAUAGUGCUUAGGCAAAGCCCUGCGCGGAUCACAUCAUCCACACCGUCACCACACCGCCGUGCUGACGGAACUCUCCCUCGACCCUCUACUGGACCUAGAGUUCGAGGGACGUCAUCGAGCUAAACGUGUGCUGAACACGGAGGUGUUGUACGUUCGGUACUUGGACCGGUUGGAUCGUGAAGACGUUCGACUACAUCAACUGCAUUAACUAACGCUUCCGCUUUCGGCCUACGAGGGUACGUGGACACACUCUCCCCCUCUCGUUGCUAUGCAUCUCCUAGAUAGAUCUUGCAUGAUCGUAGGAAUUUUUUUGAAAUUGCAUGCUACAUCCCCAACAUUUAGUUUAGUAACGUGGUUGAUGUAGUCGAACUUCUUCGCGAUCCAAGCGAUCGAGUACCAAACAUACGUCACCUCCGCGUUCAACACACGUUCAACUUGAUGAUGUCCAUGCCUUCUUGAUCCAGCAAGACGGCGAGGUAGUGGAUGAGUUUUGGCAGCACGACGGUGUGGUGACAGUGACGGUGAUGCUAUCUCCGUACGGCUUCGCAUACACACUACGAAAAUAUGACCGAGGGUGUAAACCGUGGAGGAGGGGCACCGCACUCGGCUAAGAAAUUGUCGUGGUUUGUGUGGUGCUCCCCUCCCACAUAUAUAUAGGUGGGGGAGAGGGGAGCAAACAGGAGGCGCCCAAGUAGGACCGAAUCCUACUUGGGCUCCUUCCCUUGGCUGCCUCCCCUUCCAUAUUUGCUUCCGGGAGAAAGGAAAAGGGGGGGAGAGAAAGGAAGGGGGAGGCCAAAUCCCCCUUUCCUUUCCUCCCCUAGGCCGGCCUCCAUAGGAGGGGCGCGCCAGCCCCUUGUGGGCUGGUGUGCUCCCCUCUUUGGCCCAUAUGGCCCAUAUAAUUCUCGGGGGUGCCCGGAACCCCUUCCGGUGAUCCGAUAACUACCUGGUGCACUCCGAAACUCUUUUGGUGUCCGAAUAAUUGUCUUAUAUAUCAAUCUUUACCUCCGGACCAUUCCGGAGCUCCUCAUCUUGUCCAUGAUCUCAUCCGGGACUCUGAACAACAAUUGUUCACCAAAUCAUAUACCUCAUAUAACACUAUAUCGUCAACGAACGUUAAGCGUGCGACUCUACGGGUUCGAGAAUUAUGUAGUCAUGACCGAGAUACCUCUCUGGUCAAUAACCAAUAGCAUGACCUAGAUGUCCAUAUUGGUUCCUACAUAUUCUACGAAGAUCUUUUAUCGGUUGAACCUUUAUGACAACAUACGUAAUUCCCUUUGUCUGUCGGUAUGUUACUUGCCCAAGAUUCGAUCGUUGGUAUCUUCAUACCUAGUUCAAUAUUAUUACCGGCAAGUCUCUUUACUCGUUCCGUAAUACAUCAUCUCAUAACUAACUCCUUAGUCACUUUGCUUGCAAGCUUCUUAUGAUGUAUGUUACCGAGAGGGCUCAGAGAUACCUCUCCGAUACACGAAGUGACAAAUCCCAAUCUCGAUUCAUGCCAACUCAACAGACACCUUCGGAGAUACUUGUAGAGCAUCUUUAUGAUCAUCCAGUUAUGUUGUGACAUUUGAUAACACACAAGGCAUUCCUCCGGUAUCCGGGAGUUGCAUGAUCUCAUGGUCGAAGGAAUAUGUAUUUGAUAUUAAGAAAGCAGUAGCAAUAAACUAAAUGAUCAUAUGUUAAGCUAACGGAUGGGUCUUGUCCAUCACAUUAUUCUCCUAAUGAUGUGAUCCCGUUAUCAAGUGACAACACAGGUCUAUGGUUAGGAAACCUUAACCAUCUUUUGACCAACGAGCUAGUCUAGUAGAGGCUCACUAGGGACACGGUAUUUGUUUAUGUAUCCACACAUGCAUUUAAGUUUCUGGUCAAUACAAUUCUAGCAUGAAUAAUAAACCUUUAUCAUGAAUAAGGAAAUAUAAUAAUAACAACUUUAUUAUUGCCUCUAGGGCAUAUUUCCAUCAGAAGGAUCACCCUAUUCUCCUUGAGAUAUCAUAACGGAUGCGAUUCUCAACCACUAGCGGUAGGCCUUGAGGCAGCCUUCGAACCUUCACAGGGGUAAAUCACAAGUUGAUUCCUCACCGAAGACUCCUACCACCUGUUACUUGUUAGCUGCGUUGGGAUUUUCCCUGAAGAGGAAGGGUGAAGCAAUAUAUUAGCAAUAAGUACUUCCCUCAGUGAGAACCAAGAUUUGUCGAACCAAUAGGAGAAUCACUCAAAACCUAGUGAACAACACCUGCACACAGAAAAGCAAAAACUUGCACCCAACGCGGGCAAGAGGGUUGUCAAUCCCUUUGAACUCGUUACUUGCAAGAUUUAAAUCUUGUGGUGGUAGAUAGAUAAAAAGAAAAGUCAAUAAAUUGUAGCAAGGUAUUUUUAGUUUUAUCAAUAUGAUUAAGUAGAACCCGGGGCCAUAGUUUUCACUGAGGCUACUCUCUCGGAACAAUAGCAUACGAUGGGUAAAUAAAUUACUGUUGGACAAUUAAUAGAAAAGCACAUAGUUAUGAUGUUGUUCAUGACAAUGAUCAUGCAUAUAUGCAUCACGUCCGUGUCAACUAGACCAAAACGAUUCUGCAUCUACUACUAUUACUCCAAUUUGGGAGCGCUUCUAUGCUUGCCUCUCUAGGUAUUAAGUUCAUAAGAAAUAGAGUAAUGCAUGAAAUAUGAUGACAUGAUGUAGACAAAGUAAACUCAAGCAAUAUAAAUAAACCCCAUCGUUUUACCCUUAAUGACAGUGAUACAAAUACAUGUCUCGCUACCCUUUAGUGUGGUAUAUCUCCACUGCUUGUUUCUCACAUGAUGUUAGUGUGAUGUCUCUCUUAUACUUGUUAUCUAUUCAAUUAACUAUAAUUAUUCUUAUAUUCGCUCUCAAUGGUAAAUAGUCCCCUUGACAUUUUUUGUGGAAUUUAAUCUACUUAUGAUGUACGGGUACCUUAUGGAAUAAGAACUUGUAAAUCAACACAUAUUUAUUUUUACCUGGUUAAUUUGCUUUCUGUCAAGGUAAUUCGCUUGAUGAUAAAAUUUAUCUUUUAGGUUUGUUCAAUCUGUUCUAGACACUAUACCUGCUAUAGCGCACGACAAGAGAUAUACUUAGUAGUAGGCAACGUAUGGCUACAAUAUGAACAAGAUCAACUAUUGGAACUGUAAAUCUGUAGAUUCUGCUAUUAUAAUUUCUAACUUAAAGAAUGGUUCUUGUGCGGUUCCUCAAGACCUUUCCAAAUAGGCUACAUGUUUGGGGUUCAUAAUGGAAAUUCUACUACACAACAACCAUUUUUUGACUACAAAACUGACGGUGUCUUCUUCUCUUUUGAGAGAAAACUGAUGGUAUAUUUCGCAUGCAGUAUAGCAAGUUAUUUUCAGAUUUACUAGACUAGGACCUGAUUUAUAAAAGCAAAAGUGGUAUUAAGUACUGUGAGAUACUUCAUUGGUUUAACUUCAAAUGCCAAAAUGAAUGCUUUUUUUAUUGUUGUAUUUAUCUGCAUUUGUUGUCGCACAAAAUAGCGAGCAUUGUGACAUAUUGACAAAUCUUAUGAAUGUCCUAUGAGUUUUAAACCUUAUAUUAAUUUACAAGUUAAUAAUUAACUGGGUAAUAAAUGCAUAGCUUAUACUCCCAUAUUUUGCUUGCUUGAUUUGUGUAGACUAAAAUGUCAUGACGUUAUUCAAGUUUUUUCAAGCUCUGCUCUGUCAGUCAGUAUAUAACAUCUGUUAACUGGACAGUAUGCUUAUCAAUUAGUCGUAGUCUAACUCCCCUAAAAAAUUAGUAGUACUUCAACUGCUAAAUUGACAUUUGUCGGUAUCCAUUUUUGUGAAGGUUUAAUUUAUUUAUGUAUUCCUCAUAAGGAAAAUAGUUCAAUUACAACUAGAGGUCUGCUGUUUUACACUACAAUCAUCUGGGUAGUUGUAAGUGCUUCAUUGUAUUGGAAAGUUUUCAACCCCCUCCAUUUUUCAACAUGUCAAUUAUCUGAUACAUAGCAAAUUUAAUUUUGUCAAUUAUCAAUCUCUACUUCCCUGUCUCAUCACUUUUUGGCUCCAUAGAAUUAAAUUUGUCAAUAAUCAAUCCACUAUAAAAGCCGGAGGCUCGCAACUAUUUGAUGACGACCGUGUUAUUUUUGCACUUUUCCUUCAGUGUUGUGGAAUUUAUCUUUGAUUAAAUUUUCCAAUUAUCUGGUUUACAAAUCUUAUUUAUUUCUCUGCAAAUGUUUGGCUUGGACGGACGGAUUUAUCGAUUGUAUCUACCAAUGUACGAAUUUACGAAUGUGUACCUACCAUAUCAAUAAUAUAUCUUUGCUUUGAUAGAUGUCUCAUGUCUCGGUACAUUUUUUAUAGUCUGUAGCAGCGUAUAGGCUAUAAUUUUAAGUCCACCAGAUCAUUGUUUAUCCGGUGACGUAACACGACCAUCUUACUAGUUAACUAUAAAAAAAUCAACCAUAUGACAAUACAAUGUGAUGUGCAUAAAAGGUCUACGUCAUGUAUAGUUGUUGAAUCAUCACAAUAUCUAAGUUUAUCUUGUCACACAUAAUUUUUAAACACGGUACAAAUGCAGACACUCAUACAUAUACACAUACACUCAUCUUUAUAAACGCACGCACAAGUCUUACCUUUAUGAGCAUUUUCCAGAGGCUGAGUCGACACAUCAUCUUAAGAUUAACGAGUCGCCACAAACGCCUUCGUACAUGACGGAAACGUUAUCCCACUAAACGCAAACGGCCGAAAGGCCUCAUAAAAUGGGAGAACCAAUGCUAAUUCUAGGACUUGAACUCCAUACGUUAAGGAUACGUUGUCCUCUUAAUCAUCCAAGCAAUUAACUAAUUAGUGAAGUGAAAAGUGUUUUCUCGCACCAUUGAAAAGACAAAAGUUUUCUCAACUAAUGACGAGCAAAGUACAAAACGUUGCACGGCACAGUUCCUCCAUGUCAUCGUUCUUGUUAGCAGGUGCGCCAUCAGAUUAGCUAGCAUGUGGACCCUCUGUCUUAACACCGUCGCAUCUCCAGAUCUCUUGUGAAACCCAACGACCUCAAGCUAACCCCGAACCCGAAGCCACCGCUCAAGAGAAAAAACAACAAUGAAAUCCGCGAUGCUUCCCCUCCUCCUUGUGCUCCCCCUGCUCGCCGUCGCCGGCCCCGCCGCCGCGAAGCCGACGGCCUACGAGGCGCUCGCGGCCUUCGACUUCCCCCCGGGCAUCAUCCCCGAGGGGGUCGUCUCCUACACCCUCGACAACGCCACCGGCGACUUCACGGCGCACAUCAACUCCUCCUCCACCUGCGAGUUCUCCAUCCAGGGCUCCUACUCGCUCCGCUACAAGCCCGACAUCAGCGGCCGCAUCUCUGUCGACCGCCUCACCAACCUCCAGGGCGUCACCGUCAAGGUCCUCUUCUUCUGGCUCAACAUCGUCGAGGUCACCCGCAGCGGCGACCAGCUCGGCUUCUCCGUCGGCAUCGCCUCCGCCGACUUCGGCCUCGACAACUUCCUCGAGAGCCCCACCUGCGGCUGUGGCUUCGACUGCAACGACCUCCUGCUGCCGCAGUCCGCCGCCGAGUCGAGCCUGCGCCUGCGAGGUGCGUUCUAGGAUCCCCACCGAGCUCUCUCACAAAGUCACAAGUGACAAGCGCCCCUUCAAAAUUCAGCUAGUUCUUGGAUGGAUAUUCUUGCUCUUGUUGCUGGAAGAUACGAAGGGGCUAGUAGUAUUUUCUAGUGAUGUUCCUGUUUUAGAUGGACCAACAAUUUCAGGACUCGAUUUCGAUGGGUCCGUGUGUGAGUGCUGUACUGUUUCAGAAAGUUUAGAGUAAAACACUUGAGAUCAAUAAAAGUUUCAUAUUCCUAAAUACCUGUGAUCUAGUUCAUGUUCUGCGUCUUCCAUUUUGUGGCAUACUGAUUAAUCAGGCAGUUCUUUUGUGAAAUGGAAUUCUUCUAUUGAAUCUUUGCAAACAUAUCAAGCUGAUACAUACGCCCAACGAAGAAGUUCUAGCUCCUGGCUUCUGCAUCCAUGAUUAAUCUUCUAUGUAUUCAUGUUCUGUGCCCUUCAUUUUGUGGCAUAUUGAUCAAUCAGGCAGUUCUUUCUUUGAAAUGGAGGCCUCUAGGCCUCUUACUGAAUCUUUGCAAGCAUAUCAAGCUGAUACAUCCACAAAUCAAGUGCUAGCCCCCCAUCCACGAUGCAUACAGAAUUACAGACCAUAAAAGUACAGCCAACACAUACUUGGAACAAACCAGCUGAUACAAAUUCGCUGACAGAAUGAUGAAAGAAAAACCGAAUGGCAAAAUCACACCCAGUACAUAUACUGUGAGAACAAACCUGCUGAUGAAGAGUUGCUGCUGAUAUCAAAGUGCUAACAGAAAGAUGAAAAAUUAACUGAAAUAGCAAAAUCACUCAGGAUGCCAUGAAUCAGGCAGGCUGGAAGGUCGAAGCUGUUUCUUCGAUCCUAUGUAUAAAUAGUGUGCUAACUACUACUAUUUGGUCACUACAGGGUGCAAGGUAUUGUAGCUUAAGCUUGAGAUUGUUUGUUGAGGCUCAAUAACUUCCAUUUUCUUAUGAGAGUAGUAUAUUCUUCUCGUCUGCUAAGACAGAGAGCUGGAAUGAGUUGUGCUUAGACAAGGACUACAAUAAAUGUGAUCUUGGAGGGGUCCUUAUGAAUAAUAACUACAUUUCUGGUACAAUGAAUUGCUAAGGGAAUGCAUUCAAUCUUGAGUUUUGCAGAGUAUUUGUUUUGUUUCUGUUUCUAGUAUAGUCACAAGAAAAGGAGUUGUGAUGGAAAUUGGUUUCAGAAACCAGGGGCAGGCAUCGCUUUCACAGGUUGUUUUUGCUACCCUAACUGUUAUUACAGAUAAAUGUGUCCAAUGAUUUUCUUCUUCAGUUAUUAACCUACCUAAAUAUGGUAACCAGUAGAUGUUCCCAGGCCCUUGUUUGUUUGUUUGGUUUUCAGACAUAAACAGAGGAAUCGCGCGAUAAUUUUAGAUUGCUGUGAAUGGUUUACUUGGGUUUUACUUUACAUAAAAAAAAUACAUCCAAAAUAGUUUCGUACUGCUAUACAUCCUUGAAAAUUUGAUGCAACAAAAGAAGAUGAAAAGAGCAUCCAGAUUCCAAUCACGUUGAUGUUGUGCAUCUCCUAUCUACGAGAAAUCCAGAGGGAGGCGCGGUGAGCUCCAGGUCACAAAUGGCAGUCAUCCGGUAGGUGUAGUGCCAAGACCAGAACCUUUCCCGGACCUUGAAGGUCCCUCUGAUGGUGAAGAGGAUCUUGUUGCUCUUCAUCUGGUUCAGCAGCUCCACGGCCACCUCCGGCGGUAGCACGACCUGGCUAGACAGCAUGUGGACGCUGAGGACUGUGAACUGCCCCCGCCGCUGCGCAAACGACGGCAGCGCCUGGGCCGACACCAGCCUGCCCCGAAAGAAGAGCUCGACGGCGCCGGACUGGAUCACGACGCCGAUCUUGCGGUUGGGGUUGGAGAUGUUGGCCGUCAGCGUCAUGUCGCCGUUGAAGUAGGGCGGGGGCGAGCCGAUGUAGACGCUGUUGAGGGCUGCGUGGGCGACGUCGAAGGACGGCGUCCUUGGCUUCACCGUCAGGAAGACGACGAGGAUCACCAGGCCGGCGAGGAUGAGGAGGACGCUGAAGGCGAAGCAGACGAUGGCAGCGCACCACAUCGCGGGGCUGGUCCGGUGCCGUGGCUGCAGGAUGAUCUUGGGCGGCGGCGGCGGCUCUGGCUCCUGCCGCUUCAUGCUGAUGAUCUUGGUGACGAUGGUUCUUGGAGACAGGAGGUGGUAUGGAGUAGGAGUACCCAUUGAUCCCGAGCAGCAGCAACCAAUCACAAAGGAGCGCACCGGGAGGAGAGGAGAGGAGAGGAGAAGAAGCCAAGCGAGUAAGGUGUCCGAACGGGAAAGCAAAAGGGAAGGACGAAGUAAUAAUGGAGGUAAAAGUAGGCUAUGCUAAUGCAAAAUACAGAGGGAAGGGAAAAAGAAGAAGAAGCUUUUGGAAAAACAGUGGAUGCGGGCCUGGCCUGCCAUUCAUUGCCUCUCGGCUCCAUUUUCGCCGUUGAAAAGUGGGAGCGAAGGCAAUGUGACUGGGGCCUGCUUUAUACUACCACAGCAAAGCAUAUUUCGAGCUGUGCGAAAUAAAGUCAGUCUCGGUUAUUGGCCUCCUUUGAUGUUUUCUGGAAUUGCUCUACUCUUCCUUCCACUCGGUUAAGCAAAAAACUCCAUCUUGAGGCAUACUGUCUGUGGUAAGAGGCAAAAGUCAUCUUCUGCCCGCGAGCUCAUCUGAGCCGAACAGUAAAAUUCAAAAACAAAACGUUUUAAAAAAUUCUGAUUUUCUUUUUGUGUGCAAACAUUGACAAAAGUUCUCGGUGCUUGCAAAAUUUCAUCAAGAAAUGACAUUUAUAGAAGUCGUGGUAAAAAAGCAAAAUCAGCACUUCAAAAUGUUUUCAAAAAUAACACUUUUGGAGCGUCAAUUUUGUUUUUUUCUAUGAUCUCCAUGAAUGUUAUUUCGUGAUGAAAUUUUGUGAGCACUGAGAAUUUUUGUCAAUGUUUGUACAAUUUUACUGUUCACCCGAGAAACACCACGUCCGGUAAGAGGCAACUACUGUUAUGACGCGUCACCAUCAAUACUGAUUUCUGCAAUCUUGUGCAUAAAGUUCAAGUUUAAUUUUCGUGUAUGUGAGAAACUGAAAAUGUGCGCGGCCUGGUGCGCGGCCUCGGGAUCGGCGUGGACGCCGGAGCGGCGGUUUCGGUCUUGGUUGUAGGGUGUCGGCUACGGGUUGCUUGGGUGACGGAGCCGGCGGCUCGGCUGGAGCGCGGCCCUGGGGUCGGCGUGUGUUGAUGGUGCCCUGUUGAGGGCAUGUGUUGUAACGGUUUUCGUCCAGGUUUCCGUUAAUUAAUCGAGCAACUCUCUUCUGCUUAAUGUAUGAAAGUGGCAAACCUUUUGCCUUGUUUCAAAAAAAAAAAGAAACUGAAAAUGUUUACUACCCCGGCCGGCCGUGAGCGGGAGCAGAUCUGGGAAGAGAAGCCCGCACAAGUUGCUUAACCUCGAAGGAUGGUGGCACUAGCAGUACCGUCGCCCCUUGCAAUAUCCAGAUGUCAGCCUGCCGCACGGCUAGCAUCUGGACCCGCAAAGGAUCCCCAUUCCGGCGGUGCCGUGCUCGGCGAGGGCGCACGCCGAGGACGUUCGCCGGCGGCGCGAGCUCCUGACACUGGAUCAAAGCGCAAUGCAUGCAUACGCGCCAGACUCCCCCAACUAGGAGCGCCUAGGCUGGGCCGGUGUCGGCGUUCAUCGACCUCUUCGGCCCCCGGGAGAAGGAGGACGACGACAGCAGCGCCAUUUUUUUUCUUAAGUAUUAUUAAUGUUUAAGCGGACUUUGGCCGGCAAGUUGACCGGUCAUUUAUGUUUAAUUAUGCUUAUUUCGGUUGCAUGCCUACGGAGUUUUUCUUAAUGUCGCUUGUAAAUUUGGGUCUGCCACCCAUUGUGCGUACCAACCGACCUAAAUGAAAAAGCGGACAUGCAUGUCCUCUCGGCCGGCCUAAAUGGACAAAACGUGUGUCCAUUUAGGUCGCCGCAUUGGAGUUGCUCUUAGCUUCGCCACCCACGUCGCUCGUGCGGAGCGAUGCCAGCCAUACGAGGAUUAGACUUUGACCGGUGAGGUAAGAAUAGGAUUAAAGAUUCAGACAUGAGAGCCAGAUUCCUCAGAAUUUUGUAGAUUAAAUUAUUUUUAGAAAAAUGAGAUGCGCGCUUAGCUGAAAGUGCAAAGAGGGACCAAGGGGAUGACUGACCGCUCCCGCGACCCAGGAACCACCCACCGCCGCCACGCCACUCCUUCCCUCUCUGACGCCCUCCCCAUGCCGCAACGCCACCGCGGAUCUGCAUUUUCGGCUCCUUGCCGUGGCACGCCUACGGGACUGCAAGGGCCGGGAUUUCCCCUUCCCUUCGUCUACGAGGCGUUCCCGAAGAAGCUUUAUUUGAUCCAGUCGGUGCCACAGGAGGAGUUGCUGGCGACGAGGGAGCGAAGGUGGAUGGAGAGAGUGUAGCGGAUCUGCAACGACUCCUUCUCGUGGCCGCAGUGCGAGAAAGAGUGGAGGGAGGCGAAGGAGGUCGUGGAGGUGGAACCAGAUCCGGUGCUCAGAUCCAAGAGAGAGAGAUAUGUGCAGACUUGCAGAAUCAAGGCAAAUCGUGAGAUGAACAAUUUUACGAGGAGGAUCUAUUUUGAGGGAACACCUGUGGAGCAAGAGCGGAUGUUGUCGUUCCUAGCCUCGCCGAUGAUGUUGUUCAUGCACUAGGCGAGGGGAAGAGGGGAGAUCCAACGACUUGAGGAGGAAGGCGCGGUGGAUUUGUUUCGUUGGGUGCGCCCUACAAGCAUCCCACCAUUGCCGGAACCAGUAGAUCCUCUUCCUUACUUGUCACCCGAGAUCUGACUGGUUCUAAAGGUAUGCAAUAUGUUGCAGAUGGGGAUGGGACUGGCUCAAAGGACAAGCAGAUUACAUUAGAUCUUGAAGGUCAUGGGGAGAUAGGUAGGGGUGGAUAUCCUGGUUACUUAGAAGAUGUUCGUCCUUGGGGUAGAUUUUGGGCUCUUGAGCAAAUUGAAGAAGAAGAUGAAGACAAUUAGGAGGAAAAUGAAGCCAUUUUGUAUCCUUAUUUGGUUAAUUUUGCUAGUGUGCUCCUUGUGCUAAGAGAGACACGACAAAGAGAGGCAAAGAGAAGCAGAAGGUCACUGGGGAAUGCAACAAGGGUGUUGUCAGGCAAAGCUGUGAUCAAAAUUUAGUGGAGAUUGAGAUUCCCAAAUUCAAAUAUGUAAGUGCUACAUCUUGUAGUAGAACUGAUAGUAUUUUGCCUAUCAAUUGCGGUUCAGUUCAUGAUGGCCGCUAGUACCAAAUUGUUGAUGGAAAAUCAGUGGAUGUGGGUGUAGGUUUAGAGCCUGACUAGGUGCAGACGGGAUGUGGUGGGAGGGAUCGCCGUCGAUCAGUACGUAGCUUGAUCAAUGUGCCACUCCCAACACGGUCGUUAGCACGCCGGGAAGGGAACUCCGGUGAUGAUUUUAAAUUUAGGGGGAACUUUUUUGUUUCUAUUCGUACUUUGGACAGGGUUGGGCCAAUUGGUGGGGGAUUGGGACAGGUAAAUGGAGAUAACUUGGGGCCCAAAGUUGGGAAAGUUUUAUUACAACCUGGCCGGAGACUGGUUGUUAAACCUAACCACUUCUUGUGCUCCAGGGUUUCCCAUUUGUUGUGCUCAUCAUCCUCCGUUGCCACGGUAGGUAGCCAAGGUCUGGGUGUGGAGAUCGCCGGUCGUAUUGGUCCUGGGCGUGGAGGUGGUGGAAUGGUGAAGGAGGUGGAGGAAAUUGGAGACCUAAGCAGGGCUACGG